rnacentral:ncRNA from 22 species
AAUUUCGCACACGCAAUUGGUUCAUAAUUCAUUGUGAUUAAAAAGGGAAUAAGGUGAGAUUCCUUAACAGUCCCGCUGCUGUGAACGAUAUUUUAGAAAGGAAACAAGCCACUGACGGCAAUUGUUGGGAAGGCACUCUUUCGUGAAUCGUGUAGUCAGAAGACCUGCCGUUGCGAGUUAUUGCUUC